rnacentral:rRNA from 1 species
UACGUAGGGUCCGAGCGUUGUCCGGAGUUACUGGGCGUAAAGCGCGCGCAGGCGGCCCGCGAGGUGUCACGUGAAAGCCCCGGGCUCAACUCGGGAGGGUCGUGGCAAACCGGCGGGCUUGAGGCCGGUAGAGGUGGGUGGAACUCCUGGUGGAGUGGUGAAAUGCGUAGAGAUCAGGAAGAACGCCCGUGGCGAAGGCGGCCCACUGGGCCGGUGCUGACGCUGAGGCGCGAAGGCGUGGGGAGCGAACGGG